rnacentral:sRNA from 1 species
AGCUGUUAGUUUUUGUUCUGGGCAUCUUUAAAUUAUUCUUUAUCUUCUUCCUCCAGCUACUACUGGUUUGAUAAUAGUGCUAAGAGUGUGAUGAUGGUGAAAUGUGAAAAGAAAGAGACCGGUUCAUCAAAUGGGCUCCUAUCUCGAGAUUUUGAUUCGUUUUAAUGGGAGAAAAAGAAAGGGGCCAUGUCAGCAAAAUGCUCAAUGCGAGAUUUUUUUUUUCAUGCUUCUGUCAUGAGAUACCAACCAGAACUCAUAAAAUUUGAACUGAUUUGAAAUACUGGUUUUAUAUUGAAGGAGUUAAUUUGAAAGUGUUGGAUUGAGCGAGGUGGGAAUUUUGAGUGUACUUUCCGAUAAUUUUGCAUUGUUUAAUCUAAUGC